CCUACGGGCGGCUGCAGUGGGGAAUAUUGGACAAUGGGGGCAACCCUGAUCCAGCCAUGCCGCGUGUGUGAAGAAGGCCCUCGGGUUGUAAAGCACUUUCAGUGAGGAAGAACGCCUGGUGGUUAAUACCCAUCAGGAAAGACAUCACUCACAGAAGAAGCACCGGCUAACUCCGUGCCAGCAGCCGCGGUAAUACGGAGGGUGCGAGCGUUAAUCGGAAUUACUGGGCGUAAAGCGCGCGUAGGUGGCUUGAUAAGCCGGUUGUGAAAGCCCCGGGCUCAACCUGGGAACGGCAUCCGGAACUGUCAAGCUAGAGUGCAGGAGAGGAAGGUAGAAUUCCCCGUGUAGCGGUGAAAUGCGUAGAGAUCGGGAGGAACACCGGUGGCGAAGGCGGCCUUCUGGGCUGACACUGACACUGAGGUGCGAAAGCGUGGGUAGCAAACAGGAUUAGAUACCCCAGUAGUC
rnacentral:rRNA from 1 species